rnacentral:rRNA from 1 species
GAUGAACGCUAGCGGCAGACUUAAUACAUGCAAGUCGUGGGGCAGCAGGUCUGUAGCAAUACAGAUGCUGGCGACCGGCAAACGGGUGCGUAACACGUACGCAACCUUCCCGUUACUGGGGAAUAGCCCAGGGAAACUUGGAUUAAUACCCCAUAUUAUAUUGGUUAGGCAUCUGACUGAUAUCAAAGCUUCGGCGGUAACGGAUGGGCGUGCGGUUGAUUAGGUAGUUGGCGGGGUAACGGCCCACCAAGCCUACGAUCAAUAGCUGAUGUGAGAGCAUGAUCAGCCACACGGGCACUGAGACACGGGCCCGACUCCUACGGGAGGCAGCAGUAAGGAAUAUUGGGCAAUGGACGAAAGUCUGACCCAGCCAUGCCGCGUGAAGGAUGAAGGUCCUCUGGAUUGUAAACUUCUUUUAUCUGGGGCGAAAAUCGGUUAUUCUUAGCCGCUUGACAGUACCAGAUGAAUAAGCACCGGCUAACUCCGUGCCAGCCGCCGCAGUAAUAC